rnacentral:rRNA from 1 species
AGUGAACGCUGGCGGUAGGCCUAACACAUGCAAGUCGAACGGCAGCACAGUAAGAGCUUGCUCUUACGGGUGGCGAGUGGCGGACGGGUGAGGAAUACAUCGGAAUCUACUUUUUCGUGGGGGAUAACGUAGGGAAACUUACGCUAAUACCGCAUACGACCUACGGGUGAAAGCAGGGGAUCUUCGGACCUUGCGCGAUUGAAUGAGCCGAUGCCGGAUUAGCUAGUUGGCGGGGUAAAGGCCCACCAAGGCGACGAUCCGUAGCUGGUCUGAGAGGAUGAUCGGCCACACUGGAACUGAGACACGGUCCAGACUCCUACGGGAGGCAGCAGUGGGGAAUAUUCGACAAUGGGCGCAAGCCUGAUCCAGCCAUACCGCGUGGGUGAAGAAGGCCUUCGGGUUGUAAAGCCCUUUUGUUGGGAAAGAAAAGCAGCAGGUUAAUACCCCGCUGUUCUGACGGUACCCAAAGAAUAAGCACCGGCUAACUUCGUG